ACGUGAGUAACCUGCCCCCCACUCUGGGAUAACCUCGGGAAAUCGGGGCUAAUACCGGAUAUGAGCUCCUACCGCAUGGUGGGUGCUGGAAAGUUUUUCGGUGGGGGAUGGACUCGCGGCCUAUCAGUUUGUUGGUGAGGUAAUGGCUCACCAAGGCGAUGACGGGUAGCCGGCCUGAGAGGGCGACCGGCCACACUGGGACUGAGACACGGCCCAGACUCCUACGGGAGGCAGCAGUGGGGAAUAUUGCACAAUGGGCGAAAGCCUGAUGCAGCGACGCCGCGUGGGGGAUGACGGCCUUCGGGUUGUAAACCUCUUUCAGUAGGGAAGAAGCGAAAGUGACGGUACCUGCAGAAGAAGCGCCGGCUAACUACGUGCCAGCAGCCGCGGUAAUACGUAGGGCGCAAGCGUUGUCCGGAAUUAUUGGGCGUAAAGAGCUUGUAGGUGGCUUGUCGCGUCUGCCGUGAAAACCCGAGGCUCAACCUCGGGCGUGCGGUGGGUACGGGCAGGCUAGAGUGUGGUAGGGGAGACUGGAACUCCUGGUGUAGCGGUGAAAUGCGCAGAUAUCAGGAAGAACACCGAUGGCGAAGGCAGGUCUCUGGGCCAUUACUGACACUGAGAAGCGAAAGCAUGGGGAGCGAACAGGAUUA
rnacentral:rRNA from 1 species